CUAGUGCCAAUCUGGUGUUAUCGACUGCUUUGGUCUGAAGCGUAACACCUCCUACAUGACAUGAAUGGAUCAAGGAGGAAAGCUGCUUCUAUUCGAAAUAUGACCAAAAAGGGUUGUGAUUGAUUGGGACUGUAGCGCUGUCAACAUUUCAAGUGAAAGGCUUAGAGUUUUAUCUUUAGGAAAAUGUAUUCGUAAAAUUAGCUUGUUGGCCAUGAAGUUUUAAAAGGAGUGGAUGCAUGUUGUCGAGAUACGUUGAGGAUGACAGCUGUCUCCAAGUUCUUCUUGGCUUCCUCGCGGCCACUAUAAGGGCUCCGGGAACCAAAUCUCCUCCAUCAUCGUGUUAGUUGUUUGACACACUUUCUCACAGAAAUGAAAAGGGGAUACUGUGACCAAACUGGCCUACUGAUGUCCAUACAGACUAACCCUACACAAGACAAUGUCUGUCACAUUGGUGCCAUGACCAAGUUGGACCUUCGCCCAACCGGGAUCAUUCUGGACAUCAUCUGCGUUGUGAUAAUCAACAAAGCCUGACUGCCCACAACACCUGGAUCAGAGAGCCAGUCCAAUGAAAUCUGUCAAGAAAACCGCAGAUAAACAAGGCCUGUAUCAUCAUUGUAGUCUAGUACUACACUUUUAUUAUACACGAAGACAGAACAUGACAUGCUUGUAUCAUUGCAAAAAAAAACCUAACUACAAUCAGUCAUGCACUCUCAGACUCACUCUUACUAUACAACUCAUGUUAUUCAUUACAAUGUGUUCAUUCAGCUGUAACAUACCCACAUUUUUAAUUUAAAAAACCCCUCAAAUCUCAAGAACCUGAAUGAAUAUAUGUGUCUCCAGGCUACAAUGGGUUAAAGCGCUGGAGGCCAGAAGGAAAGUAGAGUGAUUACACUCAUUCUCAAACUGGGCACAAUGUGGACAGUAUUCCAAGUGCGCCUUUAAAUAAUAUUGGUUUGUGGGUUUUGUGUUGUUUAUUCAGAGGUGGGCCCCAAGGUUCAGUUACACCAUUAGGUGUAAGUGAUCACCAUUCUUUGUUACACCAUGAUUUUCCUAAAUGUAUGUAUAUUCCAGUUCAGUCUUGUUUAUAUAAUUCUGCACAACUUGGUUUAUCUUUCUUCCCAUGUUUAACUGCAGUCAACCUGCCAUCCAAGCCGAGACCAAACACAUCAUAGCACUGUGGUGGUCAACCAAGGUUCCAGAUGAGUUCCACGACGUGUCCACCAAGACCAGAGGAGGCUGCUGCGGACAGCUCCCCUGCGAGAAACCUUGCUACGCCCAGUAUAGGCACACAACUCUAAUUUCACUGCAUGUUUUAGUAUUUCUAUGCAUGCAACCUAUAAAUCCUUUAAAUCUUGCAAUUGAUGUAGACUUGUAAGCCAUCUUUAAGCAACUAAUACGUUAUUCUAACCUCUUCACAUUGAUACACAUUUUGUGCACUUCAGAUCAAUUUCCUGUAUUUUGUUCUUGCUCUUUCCCUGCAGAAACACAAUUGAACAGAUUUAAUAAAUGUUCGUCUUUGUCAAUAA